rnacentral:rRNA from 1 species
GCCUAACACAUGCAAGUCGAGCGGCAGCACGGGAAGCUUGCUUCCUGGUGGCGAGCGGCGGACGGGUGAGUAAUGCAUAGGAAUCUGCCCGGUAGUGGGGGAUAACCUGGGGAAACCCAGGCUAAUACCGCAUACGUCCUACGGGAGAAAGCAGGGGCUCUUCGGACCUUGCGCUAUCGGAUGAGCCUAUGUCGGAUUAGCUGGUUGGUGAGGUAAUGGCUCACCAAGGCGACGAUCCGUAGCUGGUCUGAGAGGAUGAUCAGCCACAUCGGGACUGAGACACGGCCCGAACUCCUACGGGAGGCAGCAGUGGGGAAUAUUGGACAAUGGGCGCAAGCCUGAUCCAGCCAUGCCGCGUGUGUGAAGAAGGCCCUCGGGUUGUAAAGCACUUUCAGUGGGGAAGAAAGCCUGGUGGUUAAUACCCGCCAGGAAGGACAUCACCCACAGAAGAAGCACCGGCUAACUCCGUGCCAGCAGCCGCGGUAAUACGGAGGGUGCGAGCGUUAAUCGGAAUUACUGGGCGUAAAGCGCGCGUAGGUGGCUUGAUAAGCCGGUUGUGAAAGCCCCGGGCUCAACCUGGGAACGGCAUCCGGAACUGUCAAGCUAGAGUGCAGGAGAGGAAGGUAGAAUUCCCGGUGUAGCGGUGAAAUGCGUAGAGAUCGGGAGGAAUACCAGUGGCGAAGGCGGCCUUCUGGACUGACACUGACACUGAGGUGCGGAAGCGUGGGUAGCAAACAGGAUUAGAUACCCUGGUAGUCCACGCCGUAAACGAUGUCGACUAGCCGUUGGGUCCUUCGCGGACUUUGUGGCGCAGUUAACGCGAUAAGUCGACCGCCUGGGGAGUACGGCCGCAAGGUUAAAACUCAAAUGAAUUGACGGGGGCCCGCACAAGCGGUGGAGCAUGUGGUUUAAUUCGAUGCAACGCGAAGAACCUUACCUACCCUUGACAUCCUGCGAACCCUUCGGAGACGAAGGGGUGCCUUCGGGAACGCAGAGACAGGUGCUGCAUGGCUGUCGUCAGCUCGUGUUGUGAAAUGUUGGGUUAAGUCCCGUAACGAGCGCAACCCUUGUCCUUAUUUGCCAGCGGGUAAUGCCGGGAACUCUAAGGAGACUGCCGGUGACAAACCGGAGGAAGGUGGGGACGACGUCAAGUCAUCAUGGCCCUUACGGGUAGGGCUACACACGUGCUACAAUGGUCAGUACAAAGGGUUGCAAGCUCGCGAGAGCAAGCUAAUCCCAGAAAGCUGAUCUCAGUCCGGAUCGGAGUCUGCAACUCGACUCCGUGAAGUCGGAAUCGCUAGUAAUCGUGAAUCAGAAUGUCACGGUGAAUACGUUCCCGGGCCUUGUACACACCGCCCGUCACACCAUGGGAGUGGACUGCACCAGAAGUGGUUAGCCUAACCUUCGGGAGGGCGAUCACCACGGUGUGGUUCAUGACUGGGGUGAAGUCGUAACAAGGUAGCCGUAGGGGAACCUGCGGCUGGAUCACCUCCUUA